GCCUCAGUAGCUCAGCUGGUUAAAGCGCUGCAUGUACUGGGAUCGCAGGGCCGCAAGUUCGAUUCUUGCAAGAGCGCC